ACGCUGCCGCCAUGUUCCGCUGAACUCGGUCAGCAACAUGCCCAGAGCGCUACGCGCCCGCCGGCACUAAGGAAGACGGUCGAGACGAACACGCCCGUGAGCGACCGCAUCCGACUUCGAGCACCAGCUUGGAGCCUGCGUC
rnacentral:sRNA from 1 species